CGGGUGUAGCUCAGUUGGCUAGAGCAUCAGCCUUCCAAGCUGAGGGUCGCGGGUUCGAAUCCCGUCGCCC
rnacentral:tRNA from 1 species